GGCGGUCCGCACGGGAGCCCGGAGGGACCGGGCUGAGAGGGGGGCUGGACGCCCCCGACCGUCGAACCUGAUCCGGGUCAUGCCGGCGCAGGGAGCGUGAUGGGGUGUCUU
rnacentral:ncRNA from 1 species